CAUCAUUUAAAGAAAGCGUAAUAGCUCACUGGUCGAGUCGGCCUGCGCGGAAGAUGUAACGGGGCUAAACCAUGCACCGAAGCUGCGGCAGCGACGCUGAUGCGUUGUUGGGUAGGGGAGCGUUCUGUAAGCCUGUGAAGGUGUGCUGUGAGGCAUGCUGGAGGUAUCAGAAGUGCGAAUGCUGACAUAAGUAACGAUAAAGCGGGUGAAAAGCCCGCUCGCCGGAAGACC
rnacentral:rRNA from 1 species